CAACUUUAAACCGCUCCAACAUCUUUGUGAAUAUAGAUGAACCCUGACUAAGGAAAGACUUACAGAGAGUGGUUUGUCUGAAAUAAACCAAAAAGUCUACCACAUAUCCACAGUUGACCAGAUAUCUAGCUAGCCCAGUGACGAAGUUAUUAUAAUUUGACAUGAAGUUACAGAAUAACCAGUUUAUUAGAUGUGAAACCUGAACAUUGAACAAAGCGGAAAGGAUUUGAAUUGUGGUCCUUAGGAAAAGUUCUAUGGGUACCACAAACUACUAAAAAGAAGAAUGGAUCCAAAAAGCAAUUAUGCCUGAAUUUCCUUAGAAGCUAAGGGAGGAGAAACCCAUGCCGGCCAAGGUCACGAAGUUCAAAGACAAAUGCAUACUUAAUACCUUCACCAUAAGCCCAGUCAAGUGAAGUACCAGAGCAAGAAUCUGAAAAACAGAUACAAAAAGCAGUUUUAGGUCU